UGCACCUCCAGGUGUACCCUGUACGCGCGGGUUCGAUCGGUUGUGUGGAGCCCUGGGGCUGACUGUCCGUGUUGAGAGUGCGUCUGUCUCUCCGGCCUGCACUCGGUGUGGAGCCCGGGUGCGCUGGCAUACCUCACCCCCGCCGGCUUAAAGGAGUCCGGGGAGUUCCCAUUUCACUGCUAGGUCCACUUCCGAAAUGAACUACUUGAUCUCGAACUCUCAAACUCUUGAACUCCUGGUCUCCAGGCCUCCUUGAGGAACCCAGACAAGACUGUAUCAGAAACGGUACUCAGAUGUCAGGAUGGCAUUCUGGAAUCAGACCCCUUCCCAGCCAGAUGGUCACAAGAUCUCACUGCUUACGGAAGUGGAGUGAGGGGUGAUGACCACCAACCUGAAGCAUCACAAUUAUUGGAGGCCUCAUCUGUGGGGACUCAGGGCAGGAUUCAGGGGGACAGUCUUUUUUUUUUUUUUUUUUUUUUUUAAAGAUUUUAUUUCUUUGACAGAGAGAGACACAGUGAGAGAGGGAACACAAGCAGGGGGAGCGGAAGAGGGAGAAGCAGGCUCCCCGCCGAGCAGGGAGCCCGAUGCGGGGCUCGAUCCCAGGACCGCGGGAUCACGACCCGAGCCGAAGGCAGACCUCAAUGACUGAGCCACCCAGGCGCCCCCAGGGGGACAGUCUUAUACAACAUUCCUGACAUUUGAGAGAUGUGGGGUGAAAUGUAGCUAUAAGGACCAUAGAGUGGGUUGUUGUCGAAGGCUGUCAGUGUACCAAAGAGAAUUACAAGCUCAGGCCACUAGGACUAACAAGAAAGCCAGAAAGCCUCUAUGGUAACAUGGACAGAAAUGCAUUUUAUAGAAGUUACAAAGGAAACAGGAACAUGAAAUAAUGUUACUCUAAACUAGCUUAUCCUCAUUUAGACCCCCCUGAGUCAGGUCCAGGGGGCAUUCUGGAACACAUGGUACAUUCUGGAACAGGUGAGGGCAAAUGCAGAAGGCCAGGACAUCACACAAACGCAGACAUCUCCACCAGCUUCCUCUGUCGCGUCCAUGCUUCUCCUUCCAGCUCAUACCUGCAGCCUCAGAGGAGGUGUCCUUCAACCCGGUGCGUGGAGAAGAGCAAAAACACUCAUGCCUGGUUCAAGAAUAAAUCAUCUCUGUAUGUUAAUUGUUGUUCAUCUCUAUGUGGACUGCUGCCACACGACAGCCCCACCCAGGAUGAAGAGAAGUGCUCCCCGUGGCAGCGCAUCAAGUAACCCAGCUGGUCAUCACGUGGUGCGAAAGGAGAGGAGCCCCAGGUAAGCACAGACACAGACUGCUGGGCAAUGGUGCACGACUUGACUGAUGGAUCAGGGAAUGGGAUCAGAAGACUGAAAACAAAAGAAUGGGCAACAAAAUGUGAAAUCUGUGUGUCUUACACCAGCACCCACAGAAACUACUCAUCAAAGGAGGUGCAGAGCAACCAGGUAGGUAGGAUGACUCAUCCAGGGACGUCCAGCCAGCCUCUGUCCUUGGCCAUGCCAGUGCUCCCUCAGUGGACUCAUGAGCAGAGUAGCUGUGGUAGCAGGGAUGAAGACUUUUACACCAGGCCCACCUUAGUGGCUACUGCUAAAUGUCUGACCAUUUAGCCCCUGAAGCUGAAGGUGAGCCCUAAUUAUGUUAUCAUCCCCUCAAGGAGACCAACCAGCCACUUGGUGGCAAUGUGAUUCCAUUGAACUCCUUCCACUCUAGAAGGAGCAGAGAUUCACCUCUACUGGGACUGAUUCCAAGCAUAGAUUCUCCUUUCCUACUGGCAGUGUCUUGGCCAACAGUGCUAUCCAAAGGCUCAAAGAGUAUCUCAUGUAUCAUUAUGAAAUUCCACAUAACAUCACCUUAGACCAGUGUUUGCCAAAUUGCUUUUCAUUACCCUUCAUUAGACACUUUUUGCUAAUUGCCACUCCCAUGAAAUUUUAAUAGCACAGAUAUACUGUAUCCCUGUAUAUGCACCAUAUGUGUAUCUGUGCUUUAAACAUACGAAGACUAAAAUUAGUUUUUCCCAUCAAGAACCAAUUUUCACCCCUUGUGAGUAAUACUGCCCCCACUGAGAAUGCAUACCUUACACCAAGAGCUCCACUUUAUAGUGAAGUUGGUGCAACAACAGGGAAAUGCCCAUGGGCUCCACUUUGUCUGCUACAUGCCACGUCACCUAGAAGCUGCUGUCCUGAUAGAAUGUUGGAAUGGCCUUGUAAAGGUGUGGCAGCUUGAGAAUACAUUGCAGGGAUUGGGGUGCUGGUCUUAAUGAUGAGGUCUUAUAUGGUGCUUAUAUAGCCAUAAUAUGGUACUGGAUGUUGACUCCAAUAGAUAGAAAACACAGGUCUGGGAGCAAAGGGAUGAGAGUGGCCUCUGCCACCAGAGAUUACACUGACCCACUUGGGAAACUGGUGCUUCCCAUCUCUUCAACUUUAGGCUCUGCAGCACUAGAGCAUCUCGCUCUACGUGGUUGCCAGGAGAUGCAUCAACCGUGGGGCAUAGAAAGGGUUCCACUGGGGCGCCUGGGUGGCUCAGUCAGUUAAGCAUCUGCCUUCAGCUCAGGUCAUGAUCCCGGGGUCCUGGGAUUGAGCCCAUGUCAGGCUCCUUGUUCAGUGGGGAGUCUGCUUUUCCCUCUCCCUCUGACUCUCCCCCCACUCAUGCUCUCUCUUCCUCAUUCUCUCUCUCAAGUAAAUAAAUAAUCUUGGGGCGCCUGGGUGGCUCAGUUGGUUAAACGACUGCCUUCGGCUCAGGUCACGAUACUGGAGUCCUGGGAUCGAGUCCCACAUCCGGCUCCCUGCUCAGCAGGGAGUCUGCUUCUCCCUCUGACCCUCCCCCCUCUCAUGCUCUCUCUUCCUCAUUCUCUCUCUCAAGUAAAUAAAUAAAAUCUUUAAAUAAAUAAAUAAAUCUUGAAAGAAAGAAAGAGAAAGAAAAGGAGGGAAAGAAGGAAGGAAGAAAGAAAAAGAAAAAAAAAGAAAGAAAGAGAAAGAAAGAAAGAAAGUUCAUUCUACUAAAACUGUGGCUGAUGCCUAGUCAUGCCAGUAGAUGAGCAAGAAAAGAAAGGAGUAACUGUCCCAGCAGGAGUACAUGAUUAUCAUGAGGAAAGUGGGACAGGGAGGAAUAUAUCCGGAACACAGGAGUUUCACUGGGAUGCCUCUGGGGGUUGCCAUGCCUGGUGAAAAAUUAUCAGUUGGCAAUUUCAGCAAACAGGGUCUGACAAGAGCCUGAUAACUAGGGGCUGAGACCCCUUAGGGAUGAGGGUUGGGGUCACCCCACCAGUCAUGCAACCUAGACAAGCAGUAGAUUUGCCAAGGGGGAAGGGAAUCUAGAAUGUGUGGUAUUAAUUUGCUAGGGCUGCCAUAUCAAAAUACCACAAACUGGAUGGCAUAAACUAUAGAAAUUCAUUUUCUUGCAGUUCCGGAAGCUGGCAGUCCAAGAUUAAGGUGCUGGUUGGUUUCCUCUGAGGCCUCUCUCCGGGCUUGCAGAUGGCUAUCUUCUGGUUGUUUUUCAAAGGUCAUUCCUUUGUGCACACUCACCCCUGGUGUCUCUUUCUCUUCUUAGAAGGAUGCCAAUCAGAAUGGAUUAGUGCCCCACCCCAGGGACCUCAUUUCAACUUAAUCACCUCUUUCAAGGCCCUAUCUCCAAACACAGUCACAUUCUGAGGUGUGGAGGAUUGGGACCUCAACAUAUAAAUUUGGAGGGGGCUGUGAGCAGAAUAUGAUUCACUCCAUAACAGGCUGGUGGAGGAAGGAGAUGAUGAAUAGCAGUUAUAGAUAGACUCAGGACCAUCUAUAGCAAGGGACUAUAGCUUGUCCUACUAAACCUCCUGGUGUGCAUAUGCGUGUGCGCGUGUGUGUGUGUGUGUGUGUGCGUGUUGGAAACCAGAACUAGAAGAAGUGAUGGCAGGCAGGGUGGAGUAAAAUUCAUGCGGGCACAGAUGGAUCUGAGCCCCGCAGGGGUCAGCCACUGUCAGGGCACCAUCCACAUUCCUUCUGCACUUACCGUUCCCUUACAGGGCAGCCCAAAUUCCGACUGCCAGGAACUGCCCCUCCCAAGGACUCUCUCGGCAAUCUGGAUCCCACUCUGCUUGGCACUUCUGCGUUUCAGGCAGGUCAGAGAUGCCAGGGAAGUCAUCUUUCCUGGGGGUGGCCCUCAACCAGUGAGUGCAGGGAGCUGGGGAAGGAAUAUCACCGCUCCUCUCCACUGGUGAGUCGGCUUGAGGUGUGUGUCCCACACGGUUCCCCAGGAGUCCCCAGACUGAAGCUCCAGUGUCCGCAGUGCUGACUGGCUCAAUAAUGCAGGCCUUUUUGUUUUCCUUCCCUUCCCUCCUACCUUCCAUCUCCUUUACCUUCCCACUCCGAUAUGGGUGCUUUCUGGGAUCACCCCCCAGAAAAAAAGACCUGCACUCAAAUUCUUACCUCAGGGUCGGCUUCCGGCGGAAUUCAAAUUAAGAUACCCACGGUCUUCAGGGUAGCUCAUAUUUACUAAACUUAACGUGUAUGCUUAUUUGACUGGCUUUGCUCCCUUUACGCUCCUGGUUUCUCUCUCAGACUGGUUGCUUCUCCAGGUGCGCUCUCUCCUAGCCACUAAUUCUUUCAUACUUACUACAGUGUGUCAGGUGCUGGGGACACAGCAAGAAAAACUGACGGAGAGGGACCUGCUGUCAUGAAGGUUACUGUCCAGGAGGGAAGCCAGACUUUAAACAAUUAAUUUCAAGAGCGAAUCAUGUCCUAUCAAGGGCAAUCUGGGAGAGAAAAAGGACACAGCAGUGGGAUCCAAUCUUGUCUGGAGGCGGGGACGGUGCCUCCCCAAGGAAGUGACUUUGCUGGAAGGAUCACAAAAAUGCAAAAUAAAUCGCAAAUCACCAGGAACCUUUAUUUUACUUCAUAUCAAACUGAAAAAGCCAUAAAAUUAAAAUAUUUUCAAUUCAUAAAACUUUUACAUCAAUGACACUGACCAAUAGAAAAGUGAAAUCCCUGAGGAAUUGCCAACAAUAAAUAAAACACUUAAAAACAGAACGUUCUGAGUUCGAAGGAAAAUUUCCUGAGCCUGCCCAAUUUGGGGAAGUCAAUGGCCCUUUGCAAACUUAAGUUUGUCAAAAGGAUAUCCCAUUGAUGCAAGUUUCCUGUCAUGAGAAGAAGCUGCCACUUUCAAUAACACCUUACAUUAAAUGGGGGGAAAUAAUCUUGUUUCAAUCAAUUUAUGCAUAGUUCUGAGAAAUCUAUUACACGGGCAGGAGAAGAAAAUAUGUGCUCUUUGUGCCAACAGACUUUUACAACAUACCAAAUAAGUACCAGUGCUAGUUUUAAUUUGUUAUUAACUACAAUGUGUUGUUUUCUUGUGGAGUGUGGAUAUUAUACAAAAGGGAUGUAGUCUCCCUACUGUUUGUGGGUAAAAAAAAGAAA